AGCUGACUUGUCAAAUGGAAUGAGUAGAGGACUUGAUGGUCAGUUCCAACCCUGAUAGAAGAAACUAGGGUUCUGAAUUGUGAACAUUAAGAAGAUGGUAUCCUUUGUAAUCUUAUGGCAACCAAAACAUGGCUUAAAGCAGUCAUGGUUUCAUCUCUUAAAACACAGUGUGUAAAUUUAUUCAACUAAUGAUGGGAAAUGUAUCACUUCCAUGUACAGUGGACUUAAGUGCCAUUUGUUGAAAGGGAACAAGUCAUUGAGGAGAAAAAAAAAGCCCAAUACUUAGAGUCCCAAUUUUGUCUUAUUUGCCAAAAAAAAAAAAAAAAUCAACAAUGACAAAGCAAACCCCCUCUGGUUGAUAUUGUUACAUUGUAUAUACUGUAUAAUAGGAAAGAGAAUUGAUGUAUCUUACUUUUUCAUUAUUUGCUAACCAAAGCUGUACAUUUUUCAUAUGAUCCGCAGCCUUUUGGGUAUCUAAUGGGUCAAAACCAUGGGACCUGCCACCUCCCAUCAGCAGUUCUGGAAAUGCACUAUUUCUACUGGUUCAGAAUUCAUCUGCAGAGGUCAGCACCAGGGAGGCCACCCCCUUGAAGAGGACCUAGUGCCGAUCUGAGCCCAUGACCCUCUGACCAGAUCUGCUCUUCCUCCGAACUUCACUGCUCCAUCGUCAUCCCUGACCCUGCAGGUUCUCACACACUCAUAUGUGAUGCACGUGGUGAGUUCCUGUGGCCUUGGAUUCCCAAGAUGCCCUUCCCCAUGGUAGCAGAGCCUCCCUCUUCUCCUGAUGUUCAAAUAAAUUGUUUCUAACAGUCUGAUUGUUUCUAAAGCCUGGCAUGCUGCAUGCAGUCCAUGGGGUGGCAAAGAGUCGGACACGACUGAACAACUGAACUGAACUGAACAGUCUGAUCCUUAAAAACUGAAAAUCAUUUCAUUUCGUGGUUUUCUCAUGAAGCACACUUGGCAUUUCCUGAGACUCACUCAAGGAGAUGAACAGUGGUUUCCAAGGCCUUAAUUUUC
rnacentral:lncRNA from 1 species